rnacentral:ncRNA from 1 species
GGGGAGCAAACAGGAUUAGAUACCCUGGUAGUCCACGCCCUAAACGAUGUCAACUAGUUGUUGGGGAUUCAUUUCUUCAGUAACGUAGCUAACGCGUGAAGUUGACCGCCUGGGGAGUACGGUCGCAAGAUUAAAACUCAAAGGAAUUGACGGGGACCCGCACAAGCGGUGGAUGAUGUGGAUUAAUUCGAUGCAACGCGAAAAACCUUACCUACCCUUGACAUGGAAGGAAUCCCCGAGAGAUUGGGGAGUGCUCGAAAGAGAACCUUUACACAGGUGCUGCAUGGCUGUCGUCAGCUCGUGUCGUGA